rnacentral:tRNA from 1 species
GCCUGAGUGGCUCAGUGGGACAGAGAGCUGGGCCUCCAGACCAGAGGUCGUAGGUUCGAAUCUGACCCCAGACU